GUAGAAAAAACCGGGACACUCACCGUCAGCUGGGCUGCCACCACAACAGAGAAAACUAAAUUUAAGCCUCUGACUGAAACAAGCUAUAAAAGCCUCCUUGCUCCUGUCUUCAAGGCCCCUCCUCUCAAAGCCCACUGUCUUCUGAUUGGCCAAGACCUGAAGCAUGUUACCAGGCUUUUGUUGCCGCUGAGCAGAACACUGAGCGCAGCUGUGCGGAGCACACAGGGAUUUCUUUUAAAUACUUUAACCUCAUUAUUUGAAGCUUUGAUCAUGUUUAACAUGUACAUCCAACAUUGUAAAUAAGUCAUAAAAUACGGAAAAGCAUAAUAGGUCUCCUUUUGAUGUUGCAUUCUUUGUUAUACGUUUUAUUGCUUCAUUUUAUUUUAUGCAAUCCUUUUAUGGCAUAUUUAUUCAUUUAUUUAUAGAAGCUACUAAGUUCAAUGGUUCUACUGUAUCUCGUUGUAUUUUAUGUGCAAUGACAAUAAAGUCUCUAUCUAUCUUGA